UACGUAGGGGGCUAGCGUUGUUCGGAAUUACUGGGCGUAAAGGGCUCGUAGGUGGCCAACUAAGUCGGACGUGAAAUCCCUCAGCUUAACUGGGGAACUGCGUCCGAUACUGGAUGGCUCGAGUUUGGGAGAGGGAUGCGGAAUUCCAGGUGUAGCGGUGAAAUGCGUAGAUAUCUGGAGGAACACCGGUGGCGAAGGCGGCAUCCUGGACCAACACUGACACUGAGGAGCGAAAGCCAGGGGAGCAAACGGG
rnacentral:rRNA from 1 species